GGCUUAGAGUUUGAUCCUGGCUCAGAUUGAACGCUGGCGGCAUGCCUUACACAUGCAAGUCGAACGGUAACAGGUCUUCGGAUGCUGACGAGUGGCGAACGGGUGAGUAAUACAUCGGAACGUGCCCGAGAGUGGGGGAUAACGGAGCGAAAGCUUUGCUAAUACCGCAUACGAUCUCAGGAUGAAAGCAGGGGACCGCAAGGCCUUGCGCUCACGGAGCGGCCGAUGGCAGAUUAGGUAGUUGGUGGGAUAAAAGCUUACCAAGCCGACGAUCUGUAGCUGGUCUGAGAGGACGACCAGCCACACUGGGACUGAGACACAGGCCCAGACUCCUACGGGAGGCAGCAGUGGGGAAUUUUGGACAAUGGGCGCAAGCCUGAUCCAGCCAUGCCGCGUGCAGGAUGAAGGCCUUCGGGUUGUAAACUGCUUUUGUACGGAACGAAAAGACUCCUUCUAAUAAAGGGGGUCCAUGACGGUACCGUAAGAAUAAGCACCGGCUA
rnacentral:rRNA from 1 species